UCAUUGGUGGCUUAGUGGUAAAAUUCUUGCCUUCCAUGCAGGUGACCCAGGUUUGAUUCCUGGCCAACGCA
rnacentral:tRNA from 1 species